rnacentral:rRNA from 1 species
AACACAUGCAAGUCGAACGAAGGCUUCGGCCUUAGUGGCGCACGGGUGCGUAACGCGUGGGAAUCUGCCCUUAGGUGCGGAAUAACAGUUAGAAAUGACUGCUAAUACCGCAUAAUGACUCCGGUCCAAAGAUUUAUCGCCUAAGGAUGAGCCCGCGUAGGAUUAGCUUGUUGGUGAGGUAAAAGCUCACCAAGGCGACGAUCCUUAGCUGGUCUGAGAGGAUGAUCAGCCACACUGGGACUGAGACACGGCCCAGACUCCUACGGGAGGCAGCAGUGGGGAAUAUUGGACAAUGGGCGAAAGCCUGAUCCAGCAAUUCCGCGUGAGUGAAGAAGGCCUUCGGGUUGUAAAGCUCUUUUGUCCGGAGCGAAACGGUUAGGGUGAAUAUCCCUGACAGUAUCGGGAGAAUAAGCACCGG